rnacentral:rRNA from 1 species
CUCGGAAUUGGAGCGUAAAGUGGGUGGUAAAUUUCAUCUAAAGCUAAAUAUAGGCUUGAGACCGAUAGCAAACAAGUACCAUGAGGGAAAGAUGAAAAGGACUUUGAAAAGAGAGUUAAAAGUGCUUGAAAUCGCUGAAAGGGAAGCGAAUGGAACCAGUCUUCUGGCUGAGAUUGUUGCGUGCUACUGUGAUGCCUGGCUGCUUCAACGCAAGUGUUGUAGUUAGAGUUGAUCAGCUGUGCGUGAUGUUUCUCAGCUUGUUAGUCAACCUUUGUUCGUGCUUGGGGAUAACUGCAGGUUCCAUGGUCUUCCCUGCGGGGUUGAUCUCGUGCCUGUUAGGACUCAGGUGUGUACACUUGGUGACAAAAUGGUUCUCUUCGACCCGUCUUGAAACACGGACCAAGGAGUCUAGCACAUGUGCAAGUUCACAGGUGGCAAGCCUGCUUGCGCAAUGAAGGUGACUGCUGGGAUAUUUGCACCAGCAACCGACCAAUCAAUUGAGAGAAGUUUGAGUAUGAGCAUAUGUGUU